GACGAACGCUGGCGGCGUGCUUAACACAUGCAAGUCGAACGGAAAGGCCCUGCUUUUGUGGGGUGCUCGAGUGGCGAACGGGUGAGUAACACGUGAGUAACCUGCCCUUGACUUUGGGAUAACUUCAGGAAACUGGGGCUAAUACCGGAUAGGAGCUCCUGCUGCAUGGUGGGGGUUGGAAAGUUUCGGCGGUUGGGGAUGGACUCGCGGCUUAUCAGCUUGUUGGUGGGGCAGUGGCUUACCAAGGCUUUGACGGGUAGCCGGCCUGAGAGGGUGACCGGACACAUUGGGACUGGGAUACAGCCAAGACUCCUACGGGAGGCAGCAGUGGGGAAUAUUGCACAAUGGGCGGAAGCCUGAUGCAGCAACGCCGCGUGCGGGAUGACGACCUUCGGGUUGUAAACCGCUUUCGCCUGUGACGAAGCGUGAGUACCGGAAAUGGGUAAAGAAGCACCGGCUAACUACGUG
rnacentral:rRNA from 1 species